rfam:Glycine max cultivar Williams 82 chromosome 3, whole genome shotgun sequence.
AUACCUUUUUCAGUCUUUUGGCUAAGAUGAAGGAUAUUAUGUGUUUUUAUCAGUUUAAUAUAUGAUAUAUGGGUCAUUGGUCCACAUGAUAUUAAAAUACUUUUUGAAGGGGAGAGUCCCACAUAAUAGCUUGCUACUCGACCUCUCACGUGUUGCGCAAGUGUUGCCCUAUAGCAUGAAUCUGACACACCUUAC